UACGAAGGGGUGCAAGCGUUACUCGGAAUUACUGGGCGUAAAGCGUGCGUAGGUGGUUUGGUUAAGUCUGUUGUGAAAGCCCCGGGCUCAAACCUCGGGAAUGGCAAUGGAUACUGGCAAGCUAGAGUGCGGUAGAGGGUAGUGGAAUUCCCGGUGUAGCGGUGAAAUGCGUAGAGAUCGGGAGGAACACCAGUGGCGAAGGCGGCUACCUGGACCGAGCACUGACACUGAGGCACGGAAGCUG
rnacentral:rRNA from 1 species